UUGGGCGUGGUAAAUGGCAGUCUUAGCGUGAGCGUCAUUUAUUGGGUAUGAGCGUCAUUUAUUGGG
rnacentral:tRNA from 1 species